GUUUAGAGGUAAGAGAAGUAGCUACGUUGCAAAAAAUUAAGCUUUAAAGUCUUUACCUUUUGUGCUAAAUCAUCUAUAUCUUCUACAGGGACUAUUAAGAUAACUAAUCUUUCGUCCACCAAGAUUUAUGUGAACCUUGAAUGCCCGGAAGUGACAACGUUCAGACACUGGUUGAUCAAUGAUGGCUUCAUGGAGUUUUGGCCUAUCAUUUGAUCUGAAGAACUAGAUGCUAAGUACGACAUGGGAGCUAAUAAGAACUGGGUUGCUGUGAGGCAGAUUUGUGCCGCAUCAUUCCUUGAUUCAGAUUAUUGUUUUGGGUUUCAUCCUAGGAUUUUCUUUCUGUUAAAAAUGAAUUCUAUUCAUCCAGUUAGGCUUUGAUUUCAUAAGUUUCUUUUUAUCAGAUGACCUCAUUUGCUUUAUUAUUUCAUUAGACUAUGUCUGCUUUAUAAUUUUCAAAGAGCAUGAUUGCAUUUUUUAUUUGAGAUAUAUAGUCUGAAGGAUUUUUUAUAAAGCAAGAUGAUUUUGACAAUGUGAGUUGAAUUUCACUUAGAUUUUAUUCAUGUUUCUGGGGUAUAAUCAUGUACAUAUGUAUAUCUAAAAGUGGUACAUAUGUAUAUGAAGAAUGGAGAAUCAUUUUCAGCACUUGAAAUAGUUUCUGGAGACUCAAAAAUUUUCAGCACUUGAAAUAGUUUGGGAUCAGCGUGGAAGAAGAAAGUGCUCAGACCAUUGCCACAGUUCAAGAUGCAGCAGAUUUGAUUGAGAAGCUUUACAAGAAAAAAUAGUAAAGACGUUUAGAAUAAUUGUUUGUUCAUAGCUGUUAAGAACUGGAGCCACGUCUUUGUGUUUGUCAAGAAAAUUAUCAGAGAGGCUAUUUGAUAUGUAUUGCUCUGCUGUGUUCACGUAAGAGAAUAUUUUUGUCAAAAAGCAAUUUAGUAUCAGGCAAAUAUAUUGCCUUAUACUC